GUAAUGUCUGGGAAACUGCCUGAUGGAGGGGGAUAACUACUGGAAACGGUAGCUAAUACCGCAUAAUGUCGCAAGACCAAAGAGGGGGACCUUCGGGCCUCUUGCCAUCGGAUGUGCCCAGAUGGGAUUAGCUUGUUGGUGGGGUAACGGCUCACCAAGGCGACGAUCCCUAGCUGGUCUGAGAGGAUGACCAGCCACACUGGAACUGAGACACGGUCCAGACUCCUACGGGAGGCAGCAGUGGGGAAUAUUGCACAAUGGGCGCAAGCCUGAUGCAGCCAUGCCGCGUGUAUGAAGAAGGCCUUCGGGUUGUAAAGUACUUUCAGCGGGGAGGAAGGGAGUAAAGUUAAUACCUUUGCUCAUUGACGUUACCCGCAGAAGAAGCACCGGCUAACUCCGUGCCAGCAGCCGCGGUAAUACGGAGGGUGCAAGCGUUAAUCGGAAUUACUGGGCGUAAAGCGCACGCAGGCGGUUUGUUAAGUCAGAUGUGAAAUCCCCGGGCUCAACCUGGGAACUGCAUCUGAUACUGGCAAGCUUGAGUCUCGUAGAGGGGGGUAGAAUUCCAGGUGUAGCGGUGAAAUGCGUAGAGAUCUGGAGGAAUACCGGUGGCGAAGGCGGCCCCCUGGACGAAGACUGACGCUCAGGUGCGAAAGCGUGGGGAGCAAACAGGAUUAGAUACCCUGGUAGUCCACGCCGUAAACGAUGUCGACUUGGAGGUUGUGCCCUUGAGGCGUGGCUUCCGGAGCUAACGCGUUAAGUCGACCGCCUGGGGAGUACGGCCGCAAGGUUAAAACUCAAAUGAAUUGACGGGGGCCCGCACAAGCGGUGGAGCAUGUGGUUUAAUUCGAUGCAACGCGAAGAACCUUACCUGGUCUUGACAUCCACGGAAGUUUUCAGAGAUGAGAAUGUGCCUUCGGGAACCGUGAGACAGGUGCUGCAUGGCUGUCGUCAGCUCGUGUUGUGAAAUGUUGGGUUAAGUCCCGCAACGAGCGCAACCCUUAUCCUUUGUUGCCAGCGGUCCGGCCGGGAACUCAAAGGAGACUGCCAGUGAUAAACUGGAGGAAGGUGGGGAUGACGUCAAGUCAUCAUGGCCCUUACGACCAGGGCUACACACGUGCUACAAUGGCGCAUACAAAGAGAAGCGACCUCGCGAGAGCAAGCGGACCUCAUAAAGUGCGUCGUAGUCCGGAUUGGAGUCUGCAACUCGACUCCAUGAAGUCGGAAUCGCUAGUAAUCGUGGAUCAGAAUGCCACGGUGAAUACGUUCCCGGGCCUUGUACACACCGCCCGUCACACCAUGGGAGUGGGUUGCAAAAGAAGUAGGUAGCUUAACCUUCGGGAGGGCGCUUACCACUUUGUGAUUCAUGACUGGGGUGAAGUCGUAACAAGGUAACCGUAGGGGAACCUGCGGUUGGAUCAC
rnacentral:rRNA from 1 species